GCUGCUGUAGUGUAGUGGUUAUCGCAUUCGUCUAACACGCGAAAGGUCCCUGGUUCGAAACCAGGCAGAAACA